CACGGGGGGGACUAACGUUAUUCAUCAUAACUGGGCGUAAAGGGUACGUAGGUGGUUUAUUAAGUCUUAAAUAAAAAAUCUAAGCGUAACUUAGAAAUUAUUUAUUAUACUGAUAUUCUAGAGGUUAAUAGGAGAAAGUUAUAUUUUUGCAGGAGGGGUAAAAUUCUAAGAUAGCAAAAAGAUAACCGUUUAGCGAAGGCGACUUUCUAUAUUAAUGCUGACAUUGAGGUACGAAGGCAUGGGAAUCAAACGGG
rnacentral:rRNA from 1 species